AGUCGAGCGAUGGAUUAGAGCUUGCUCUUAUGAAGUUAGCGGCGGACGGGUGAGUAACACGUGGGUAACCUGCCCAUAAGACUGGGAUAACUCCGGGAAACCGGGGCUAAUACCGGAUAACAUUUUGAACCGCAUGGUUCGAAAUUGAAAGGCGGCUUCGGCUGUCACUUAUGGAUGGACCCGCGUCGCAUUAGCUAGUUGGUGAGGUAACGGCUCACCAAGGCAACGAUGCGUAGCCGACCUGAGAGGGUGAUCGGCCACACUGGGACUGAGACACGGCCCAGACUCCUACGGGAGGCAGCAGUAGGGAAUCUUCCGCAAUGGACGAAAGUCUGACGGAGCAACGCCGCGUGAGUGAUGAAGGCUUUCGGGUCGUAAAACUCUGUUGUUAGGGAAGAACAAGUGCUAGUUGAAUAAGCUGGCACCUUGACGGUACCUAACCAGAAAGCCACGGCUAACUACGUGCCAGCAGC
rnacentral:rRNA from 1 species